UCUUGGUCAUUUAGAGGAAGUAAAAGUCGUAACAAGGUCUCCGUAGGUGAACCUGCGGAGGGAUCAUUACAGAGUUCAUGCCCUCCGGGUAGAUCUCCCACCCACUGCUAUCACUACUCUCGUUGCUUUGGCGGGCCGCUGGGCCCUGCCCGGCCGCCGGCCCCGGCUGGCGCGUGCCCGCCAGAGACCUCACAGACUCUGAAUGUUAGUGUCGUCCGAGUAACUAUACAAUCGUUAAAACUUUCAACAACGGAUCUCUUGGUUCUGGCAUCGAUGAAGAACGCAGCGAAAUGCGAUAAGUAAUGCGAAUUGCAGAAUUCAGUGAGUCAUCGAAUCUUUGAACGCACAUUGCGCCCUGUGGUAUUCCGCAGGGCAUGCCUGUUCGAGCGUCAUUUCAACCCUCAAGCCUCGCUUGGUGUUGGGCCCUGCCCGCCGCGGCCGGCCCUAAAGAUAGUGGCGGCGCCGCCUGGCCCUCAGCGUAGUACAGCUCUCGCUCCAGGGUCCGGCGGCAGCCUGCCAGAACCCCCCAACUCCGUGGUUGACCUCGGAUCAGGUAGGGAUACCCGCUGAACUUAAGCAUAUCAAUAAGCGGAGG
rnacentral:rRNA from 2 species